rnacentral:rRNA from 1 species
CCUACGGGGGGCAGCAGUGGGGGAUAUUGCACAAUGGGGGAAACCCUGAUGCAGCGACGCCGCGUGUGGGAAGACGGUCCUCUGGAUUGUAAACCACUGUCCCCAGGGACGAAGAUGACGGUACCUGGGGAGGAAGCUCCGGCUAACUACGUGCCAGCAGCCGCGGUAAUACGUAGGGAGCGAGCGUUGUCCGGAAUUACUGGGUGUAAAGGGAGCGUAGGCGGGGAUGCAAGUUGGGUGUCAAAACUACCGGCUAAACUGGUAGUCGCACUCGAAACUGCAGCUCUUGAGUGAAGUAGAGGCAGGCGGAAUGCGUGGUGUAGCGGUGAAAUGCGUAGAUAUUAGGAAGAACACCGGUGGCGAAGGCAGCCUGCUGGGCUUUUACUGACGCUGAGGCUCGAAAGUGUGGGGAGCAAACAGGAUUAGAUACCCGGGUAGUC